GUGGAGAAACCAAUGUUCGUAUACCUACACGAAAUGAGGCAUAAUACACCUCUAAAACACAUAAUUAUUUUUCCCCUUACCCUAAAAUCUCCUAUACAUAUACAUGCAUACACAUUACCCUAAAAUCUCCUAUACAUGCAUAAAAUGAAGAUUUGCAUCCCAUUUCAACUCGGAUUCCUUUCGAAUUGGUUAGACCUACAUUUUGACACCUCUCUCCAUCU
rnacentral:lncRNA from 1 species